UUCAUGAGCGUCUCGUGGGCUCGGAGAUGUAUAUAAGAGACAGCCCGAAACCAUGUGACCUACCCAUGAGCAGGUUGAAGGUGCGGUAAGACGCACUGGAGGACCGAACCAGGGCACGUUGAAAAGUGCUUGGAUGACUUGUGGGUAGCGGAGAAAUUCCAAACGAACUUGGAGAUAGCUGGUUCUCUCCGAAAUAGCUUUAGGGCUAGCGUCGACAUUAGAGAUUCUUGGAGGUAGAGCACUGUUUGGGUGAGGGGUCCAUCCCGGAUUACCAAUCUCAGAUAAACUCCGAAUGCCAAUGAAUUAUGGUCGGCAGUCAGACUGCGAGUGCUAAGAUCCGUAGUCGAAAGGGAAACAGCCCAGACCACCAGCUAAGGUCCCAAAAUAAUUGUUAAGUGGAAAAGGAUGUGGGGUUGCACAGACAACUAGGAUGUUAGCUUAGAAGCAGCUAUUCAUUCAAAGAGUGCGUAAUAGCUCACUAGUCGAG
rnacentral:rRNA from 1 species